CCUACGGGAGGCAGCAGUGAGGAAUAUUGGUCAAUGGACGAGAGUCUGAACCAGCCAAGUAGCGUUAAGGAUGACUGCCCUAUGGGUUGUAAACUUCUUUUAUAUGGGAAUAAAAUGUUCCACGUGUGGGAUUUUGUAUGUACCAUAUGAAUAAGGCUCGGCUAACUCCGUGCCAGCAGCCGCGGUAAUACGGAGGAUCCGAGCGUUAUCCGGAUUUCUUGGGUUUAAAGGGAGCGUAGGUGGAUUGUUAAGUCAGUUGUGAAAGUUUGCGGCUCAACCGUAAAAUUGCAGUUGAAACUGGCAGUCUUGAGUACAGUAGAGGUGGGCGGAAUGCGUGGUGUAGCGGUGAAAUGCUUAGAUAUCACGAAGAACUCCGAUUGCGAAGGCAGCUCACUGGACUGCAACUGACACUGAGGCUCGAAAGUGUGGGUAUCAAACAGGAUUAGAUACCCUUGUAGUC
rnacentral:rRNA from 1 species